rnacentral:rRNA from 1 species
GAUGAACGCUGGCGGCAUGCCUAAUACAUGCAAGUCGAACGAGAGGAAGGAAAGCUUGCUUUCCUGAAUCUAGUGGCGAACGGGUGAGUAACACGUAGGUAACCUGCCCAUGUGCCCGGGAUAACUUCUGGAAACGGAUGCUAAAACCGGAUAGGUAGCAGACAAGCAUUUGACUGCUAUUAAAGUGGCCUUGGCCAUGAACAUGGAUGGACCUGCGGUGCAUUAGCUGGUUGGUGAGGUAACGGCCCACCAAGGCGACGAUGCAUAGCCGGCCUGAGAGGGCGGACGGCCACAUUGGGACUGAGACACGGCCCAAACUCCUACGGGAGGCAGCAGUAGGGAAUUUUCGUCAAUGGGGGGAACCCUGAACGAGCAAUGCCGCGUGAGUGAGGAAGGUCUUCGGAUCGUAAACCUCUGUCAGAAGGGAAGAAACUAGGGUGCUCUAAUCAUCAUCCUACUGACGGUACCUUCAAAGGAAGCACCGGCUAACUCCGUGCCAGCA